rnacentral:tRNA from 1 species
GCCUUUGUGCUGUAAUGGUCAGCACGCUCGACGCGUAACCGAGAUGUCCGUGGUUCGAUUCCCGGCGAGGGCA